GACAGAGGUCUCAAGCGUUAGGCGGAAUCACUGGGCUUAAAGCGUGUGUAGGCGGAUUCCUAAGUACCUUGUGAAAUCCCCGGGCUUAACCCGGGAACUGCCUGGUAUACUGGGUGUCUUGAGCCAACUAGGGGCGACCGGAACAAACGGUGGAGCGGUGAAAUGCGUAGAUAUCGUUUGGAACGCCAAUGGUGAAAACAGGUCGCUGGGGUUGUGCUGACGCUGAGACACGAAAGCCAGGGGAGCGAACGGG
rnacentral:rRNA from 1 species